GAUGAACGCUGGCGGCGUGCCUAAUACAUGCAAGUCGAGCGAACAGACGAGGAGCUUGCUCCUCUGACGUUAGCGGCGGACGGGUGAGUAACACGUGGAUAACCUACCUAUAAGACUGGGAUAACUUCGGGAAACCGGCGCUAAUACCGGAUAAUAUAUUGAACCGCAUGGUUCAAUAGUGAAAGACGGUUUUGCUGUCACUUAUAGGUGGAUCCGCGCCGCAUUAGCUAGUUGGUAAGGUAACGGCUUACCAAGGCAACGAUGCGUAGCCGACCUGAGAGGGUGAUCGGCCACACUGGAACUGAGACACGGUCCAGACUCCUACGGGAGGCAGCAGUAGGGAAUCUUCCGCAAUGGGCGAAAGCCUGACGGAGCAACGCCGCGUGAGUGAUGAAGGUCUUCGGAUCGUAAAACUCUGUUAUUAGGGAAGAACAAAUGUGUAAGUAACUAUGCACGUCUUGACGGUACCUAAUCAGAAAGCCACGGCUAACUACGUG
rnacentral:rRNA from 1 species